rnacentral:rRNA from 1 species
UACGUAGGGACCGAGCGUUGUCCGGAAUCAUUGGGCGUAAAGAGCGUGUAGGCGGCCACUUAAGUCCUGCGUGAAAUCUUGCGGCUCAACCGCAAGCGGUCGUGGGAAACUGGGUGGCUAGAGUGCGGGAGAGGAGAGUGGAAUUCCUGGUGUAGCGGUGAAAUGCGCAGAUAUCAGGAAGAACACCAAUGGCGAAAGCAGCUCUCUGGGACGGUACUGACGCUGAGACGCGAAAGCGUGGGGAGCGAACAGG